rnacentral:rRNA from 1 species
AUGUGUGUGGGAGUGGUCUUUCUUGUGCCCUGCGGUCCGUGGCUUUUCCUUUCCUCCCUGUGCAGGAGGUGGCAUCCCUGCCUGCCUGCAUUUAUGAUGCUGCAUGCCUGGAAAACAGUGGAGUGGCUUGUGAAUUUUGUGGUGGAUGGAUGUUUCAUGGGCACCCUGUGUCCUACAGUUCGACUCCCCUGCUUCUUGGGCUUUAGGGAGGGUUUUUUCCACUUGUGUUGCUGUUUCUUCUCCUUUGUGUUUCCUGGGUUUGUUAUCGUAGUGUGCUCUUUCUUGUGGACACCGGCAUUGCCCCGAUUCUCUUGGCUGGAUGGAGUUCAGGGUGUAUUUCUGAGGGGAGCAACAGAGAGCAGCGCUAGGUUCCAGCGCCGCCGCCGCCGCCCCCUCCUACACCGCGCCCCCAACCCCUCCUCCAAUGGCCGCACCGUCGCCGGAAUCUCCUCCCGUGCCCUAGCGCCGCCGCAGGGCACCACCGCUGCAGGGCACCACCUCCGCCGCUGCUGGACUGCAAAGGAGAGGCAGCUGCACGGCCGCCGGGCACCAUCUCCCCCUCUGCCCCAUCUGCCCCCACGAUACUGUAUAUCUUUGUUUUUACGAGUGUUGCCUUUGUUCAAAUGCUUGUCCAUAAGAUCUGCAGGGAUCAAUCUUUUCACCUCCAGGAGCACUGUUGGUCCUGUUGCCGUCGCCAUCGCCGUCCACUACCUCCUCUACGGAUCAUCUAGGGCAGCAAAGAAAGAGCGUCAUAUGAUUGAGAAGAUUGAACAUCACACAAGUCCAAAGAACAUAAUAGCAAUGGGAUCUCGAAGCAUCUGCCUUCUCAUUCUUCUUGUGAUCAUCAUCCCCAGCUCUGUCAUGUCUGAAUCAAGUGAUAUAAAAAGUUUGUUCACUCUGAGGCACUCAAUUGCUGAAGAAAAAGGUUUCCUUUGCAGCUGGUUUGAUUCAGAAACUCCCCCUUGCAGCUGGUUAGGUAUAACCUGUUCGGGGCGUAGCGUUGUGGCCAUAGACUUGUCCUCCAUGCCACUCUACGUCCGGUUUCCUUCAUGCAUUGGGGCAUUCGAGUCGCUUGUUCUGCUGAACUUAAGUGGGUGUGGGUUUACCGGUGAGCUUCCAGACACCCUGGGGAAUUUGCAGCGUCUUCAGUACCUAGAACUGAAUGAUAACCAGCUUAUUGGGAACCUGCCUGCCUCAUUAUAUACCUUGAAGAUGCUGAAAGAAAUGGUGCUUGACAACAACUUAUUACAUGGACAACUGAGCCCUGCAAUUGGUCAGUUGCAGCAUCUCACCAAGCUGUCCAUAUCCGGGAAUUCCAUCUCCGGUGGCAUUCCUACAGAGUUGGGCAGUCUGCAGAACCUAGAGUUCCUGGACCUUCACAUGAACAGCCUAAAUGGAUCGAUACCAGCAGCUUUUCGUAAUCUGUCUCAGCUGUUGCAUCUUGAUCUAAGCCAGAAUAACCUCAGUGGAUUAAUAUUUUCUGGAAUAAGCUCAUUGGUGAACCUUAUGUCACUUGAUCUGUCCUCAAACAAUUUUGUGGGGCCAAUACCUAGGGAGAUUGGUCAACUGGAAAACCUUCGACUGCUGAUUUUGGGCCAAAAUGCGUUCACCGCGACCAUUCCAGAAGAAAUUGGUAAUCUGAAGCGGCUUCAAGUACUUCUGCUCCCUGAAUGCAAGCUCACAGGCACCAUCCCUUGGUCAAUCAGCGGUCUUGUAAGCCUGGAGGAAUUUGACAUAUCAGAGAACCACUUCGAUGCUGAACUCCCAACAUCAAUCGGUCUGCUUGGCAAUCUGACACAGCUGAUUGCGAAGAAUGCAGGGCUCCGGGGGAGCAUACCGAAAGAACUAAGUAACUGCAAGAAGAUUACUCUCAUAAAUCUGUCAUUUAAUGCCUUCACUGGCUCCAUCCCUGAAGAACUUGCAGAACUGGAAACUCAUCUGCUCAGUUUCUCUGCAGAAACCAACCGCCUCUCAGGUUCUGUCCCUGCUGAGAUGUGUCAAGGCAACUCCCUGCAAACACUCAUACUGCAUGAUAACAAUCUGACUGGAAGUAUCGAGGAAACUUUUAAAGGAUGCACAAACCUCACCGAGCUGAACUUGCUAGGUAACCAUCUUCAUGGAGAGAUACCAGGGUACCUGGCUGAGCUGCCUUUAGUUAGUCUGGAAUUGUCCCUAAACAAUUUCACAGGAAUGCUGCCUGACAGGUUGUGGGAGUCAUCAACUCUUUUGCAGAUCUCUCUCAGCAAUAAUCAGAUUACCGGCCAGAUCCCAGAUAGCAUUGGUAGGCUGUCCAGCUUGCAGAGGUUGCAGAUUGACAAUAACUAUUUGGAAGGACCCAUACCACAGUCUGUCGGCUAUCUACGAAAUCUGACUAUUCUGUCUCUGCAUGGCAAUGGGUUAUCUGGGAACAUUCCAAUAGAACUCUUCAACUGCCGAAACCUUGCUACACUGGACCUGAGCUCUAAUAAUCUGACCGGGCACAUCCCGAGGGCCAUAUCUAACUUGACAUUGCUCAAUAGCUUGAUUUUGUCUUAUAACCAGCUCUCUGGUGCUAUUCCGGCUGAGAUCUGUGUGGGGUUUGAAAAUGAGGUUCACCCUGACUCGGAGUUUGUGCAGCAUAACGGUCUUCUUGAUCUGUCAUACAACCGGUUGACUGGUCAGAUUCCGGCAGCAAUAAAGAAGUGUUCUAUGCUGAUGGUGCUAAACCUGCAAGGCAACUUGCUAAAUGGCACCAUUCCCUCAGAGUUUGGUGAGCUGACAAAUCUUACAAGCAUUAAUCUGUCUUCUAAUGGAUUAGUUGGACCAAUGCUUCCUUGGUCUGCACCAUUGGUACAACUUCAAGGCCUUAUUCUAUCAAACAACCACCUAAAUGGCACCAUUCCUGUUGAGAUAGGCCAAGUUCUUCCCAAAAUUUCAAUGCUAGACUUGUCCGGUAAUGUACUUACCGGAAGUCUACCCCAGUCUUUGCUGUGCAACAAAUAUCUGAACCGCCUGGAUGUCAGUAACAACAAUCUCUCUGGGAAAAUUUUAUUCUUUUGUCCCAUGGACGGAGAAUCCUCAAGCUCACUGCUGUUCUUCAAUUCAAGCAGUAACCAUUUCUCAGGGACCCUAGAUGAGUCUAUCUCGAACUUCACACAACUGUCUUCUCUUGAUAUCCACAACAAUAGCCUCACUGGAAGCUUACCAUCAGCACUCUCUGAUCUCAGCUUUUUGAACUAUCUUGACCUCUCAAGCAAUGAUUUCUAUGGUGUCAUCCCUUGUGGUAUUUGCAAUAUAUUUGGCCUCACAUUUGCCAACUUCUCUGGUAACCACAUUGACAUGUUCAGCUCAUCAGAUUGUGCAGCAGGAGGUGUUUGCUCCACUAAUGGCACUGGUCGUAGGGUGGCUCAUCCAUCUCAUCGAGUUCGAAGAUUAGGGAUCAUUUGUAUCCUUUCACUUGCUGUCAUCAUUGUGUUAGUACUUCUCGUGUUUUAUCUGAGACACAAACUAUCGAGGAACAGUUCAUUGGUUAUUGCGCCCGCUGGUAAGGCCAAGGCUACCGUUGAGCCAACCUCAAGUGAUGAGCUCCUAGGAAGGAAGUCACGGGAACCUCUGAGUAUCAAUCUCGCAACUUUUCAGCAUUCACUGUUGCGGGUCACCGCUGAUGAUAUACUGCAAGCCACAAAGAAUUUCAGCAAAGAACACAUCAUAGGCGAUGGUGGCUUUGGCACUGUCUAUAAGGCGGCACUCCCUGAAGGUCGGAGAGUCGCGAUCAAGAGGCUUCAUGGUGGCCAUCAGUUCCAGGGUGACCGUGAAUUCCUAGCUGAGAUGGAGACCAUUGGAAAGGUGAAGCAUCCAAACCUUGUUCCCCUGCUUGGUUACUGUGUUUGUGGCGACGAACGGUUCCUGAUCUACGAGUACAUGGAGAAUGGGAGCCUUGAGAUAUGGCUGAGGAACCGAGCAGAUGCGGUUGAAGCACUUGGAUGGCCAGACCGUCUCAAGAUCUGCCUCGGGUCUGCCCAUGGGCUUGCUUUCCUUCAUGAAGGGUUUGUGCCUCAUAUCAUCCACCGGGACAUGAAAUCAAGCAACAUCUUGCUGGAUGUAAACUUUGAGCCGAGGGUCUCUGAUGGCCUCGCACGGAUAAUCAGCGCGUGCGAGACUCAUGUCAGCACCGACAUCGCCGGUACAUUUGGAUACAUCCCCCCAGAGUACGGCCAGACAAUGAAGUCCAGCACGAAAGGCGACGUGUACAGCUUCGGCGUCGUCAUGCUGGAGCUGCUUACAGGACGGCCACCCACAGGGCAAGAAGACUUGGAAGGUGGUGGGAACCUUGUUGGCUGGGUACGAUGGGUGAUCGCUCGCGGAACGAGGAACGAGCUGUUUGAUCCUUGCCUGCCAGUCUCAGGCGUGUGGCGGGAGCAGAUGGUGCGCGUGCUCAGCAUCGCCCUGGACUGCACAGCCGACGAGCCGUGGAAGAGGCCAAGCAUGGUGGACGUGGUGAAGGGCCUCAAGAUGACCCAGGCGAUGGAGUGCGGACCUCUGGUGGUGACGGUGUCCAGGGGCGGCACGCUGAUGGUAGAAACACGAGGAGCAAGAUGUCUUACACUGAAGCCUGGAGGAACUAUGCUCAGAAGGAGAGCAUCACAGAUGCUAAUCUUUUCUGCUGUCAUACAGGCAGUACCAUUGCUCCAGCUACUGGGCUUUCAGGAAUCAGGUGGCAUCUCUGCAAUUGUUGCGCUAGGAGUCAAGCCGUGCUGCUCGACGCCCGCCGCCUCUGCCAUGCGCCUCACCCACGAGCUACGGUGGGUCUGCCGCGGCCGAGAGCACGGCCUCGUCAUUGAGGUGAAUAACCCGACACCUUCUCACUGGAUUUGUGCUGGUCUGUGCGUUAUCAGUGUGAUGAUCUUAUCUGAGUUUAUUGCACUUCCAGCCAUCUGCUCCAUAGGCAUAAUUAUGUGGAGAGUUGUACAAAAACUGCAAGUGCCAAGCGGGGCUCGCUUAACUAGGAGAAUCAUCUUCCCUGUUGACAAGUCAAUGGCACCCUUCACCGUUAAGCUCAGUGAGGCGAGUGACAGCGAAGCUAGAAGAACGAUGAGGCGGCACGAGCUGGUUUCGCCGUCUUGUUGCUUGAGCGGCCUCGUGCUGCUGCUCCUCCUUGCGCUGUCGGCUCGAGCUCAGCGGCAAGCGCAGACAGAUCCGUCCGAAGUGGCCGCGCUGAACGCCAUCUUCUCGAGGUGGGGCCUGCGGGCGUCCACGGCGUGGAACAUCAGCGGCGAGCCUUGCAGCGGUGCCGCCAUCGACGACACCACCGACAUAGAUAAUGACCCAAACUUCAACCCGGCCAUUAAGUGCGAUUGCUCCUACAAUGCCAGCACCAUCUGCCACAUCACCAGGCUGAAAGUAUAUAGACUAGAUGUGGUUGGUCAGAUUCCUGCGGAACUGCAAAAUCUAACUUACCUGACAAACCUGAAUUUAGCGCAGAAUUACUUGACUGGAUCUUUACCAACAUUUAUUGAAAAGCUGACUCAGUUGCAGUAUCUACAUUUGGGAACCAAUGCAUUAACUGGAGUUUUACCGAGGGAGCUGGGUAACCUCGAGAAUCUCAUUUCGCUAUGGGCAUCAGAUAAUGAUUUUACUGGGAAGAUACCUGAUUACAUUGGAAACUUAUCAAAUUUGACAGAUCUGAGACUCCAUGGAAAUAACUUUGACGGUCCCAUUCCUGCAAGUUUUUCUAAUCUUGUCAACAUGACAAAUUUGCGAAUAGGUGAUUUAACGGGAGAGGUGUCUUCAUUGGCUUUUGUGGCUAACAUGACAUUGUUGAAAACUCUAGUUCUGAGAAACUCCAGGAUAUCUGACAACCUUGCUUCAGCGGACUUCUCAAAAUUUGUUAACCUCAAUUAUCUGGACUUGAGUUUUAACAGCAUAACAGGCAAAGUUUCUCCAACCCUUCUGAACCUGAAUACCCUGAAUUUACUAUUUCUUGGGAGCAAUAACCUCUCUGGGAGCUUACCAGACAUGAUUAGCCCUUCACUUACUACCAUUGACUUGUCAUACAAUAUGCUCUCAGGAAGAUACCCUUCUUGGACUCUGGUGGUAAGAGACCCAUCAGAGGCUCAGGAAACACCAUUUACUGUUGAAUAUCAUCUGAGAUUUGAGGAAUUUGUGUUAGGGAUUGGAGGGAGCCUGAGGAGGAUUUGGGAAAAUUCUGGAUCGUUCCUCACCGAUCCCUUCUCUGCGUUCUGA